UACGUAGGGAGCAAGCGUUGUCCGGAAUCAUUGGGCGUAAAGCGCGCGUAGGUGGCCUCAUAAGUCCGCUGUGAAAGUCAAAGGCUCAACCUUUGAAAGCCGGUGGAUACUGUGAGGCUAGAGUACGGAAGAGGCGAGUGGAAUUCCUGGUGUAGCGGUGGAAUGCGCAGAUAUCAGGAGGAACACCAAUAGCGAAGGCAGCUCGCUGGGACGUUACUGACGCUAAGGCGCGAAAGCGUGGGGAGCGAACAGG
rnacentral:rRNA from 1 species